UUUCGGUUAGCUCAGUGGAUAGAGCACCAGAUUCGAGAUCUGGAAGUCACGGGUUCAAAUCCCGUACCGACCACCA
rnacentral:tRNA from 1 species